rnacentral:rRNA from 1 species
AGUGAACGCUGGCGGUAGGCCUAACACAUGCAAGUCGAACGGCAGCACAGGAGAGCUUGCUCUCUGGGUGGCGAGUGGCGGACGGGUGAGGAAUACAUCGGAAUCUACCUUUUCGUGGGGGAUAACGUAGGGAAACUUACGCUAAUACCGCAUACGACCUACGGGUGAAAGUGGGGGACCGCAAGGCCUCACGCGAGUAGCUGAGCCGAUGUCUGUUUAGCUAGUUGGCGGGGUAAUGGCCCACCAAGGCGACGAUCGGUAGCUGGUCUGAGAGGAUGAUCAGCCACACUGGAACUGAGACACGGUCCAGACUCCUACGGGAGGCAGCAGUGGGGAAUAUUGGACAAUGGGCGCAAGCCUGAUCCAGCCAUACCGCGUGGGUGAAGAAGGCCUUCGGGUUGUAAAGCCCUUUUGUUGGGAAAGAAAUCCUAUCGGUUAAUAACCGGUGGGGAUGACGGUACCCAAAGAAUAAGCACCGGCUAACUUCGUGCCAGCCGCCGCGGUAAAAC